CUACGGAGGGUGCAAGCGUUAAUCGGAAUUACUGGGCGUAAAGAGUACGUAGGUGGUUUAUUAAGUCAGAUGUGAAAGCCCCGGGCUCAACCUGGGAACUGCAUUUGAAACUGGCAAACUAGAGUAUGGUAGAGGGGGGUAGAAUUUCUAGUGUAGCGGUGAAAUGCGUAGAUAUUAGAAGGAAUACCAGUGGCGAAGGCGGCCCCCUGGACCAAUACUGACACUGAGGUACGAAAGCGUGGGUAGCGAACAGGAUUAGAUACCCUAGUAGUCC
rnacentral:rRNA from 1 species